rnacentral:rRNA from 1 species
UACGUAGGUGGCAAGCGUUGUCCGGAUUUACUGGGCGUAAAGAGCGCGCAGGCGGUCGGAUAAGUCGAAUGUGAAAGCCCCCGGCUCAACUGGGGAGGGUCAUUCGAUACUGUUCGACUCGAAGGCAGGAGAGGGAAGUGGAAUUCCAGGUGUAGCGGUGAAAUGCGUAGAUAUCUGGAGGAACACCGGUGGCGAAGGCGGCUCUCUAGUACGGUACUGACGCUGAGACGCGAAAGCGUGGGGAGCGAACAGG